GCGCUCACUUUGGCAGCACAUAUACUAAAACUAGAACAAUACGGAGAUUAGCAUGGCCCCUGCGCAAGGAUGAUACGCAAAUUCGUGAAGGGUUCCAUAUUUUA